rnacentral:tRNA from 1 species
GGCUGGAUCACCUCCUUUUGAGCAUGACGUCAUUCGUCCUGUCGGGCGUCCUCACAAAUUACCUGCAUUCAGAGAUUCAUACCGGCACAGGUCGGUAUGCGAAGUCCCUUUUGGGGCCUUAGCUCAGCUGGGAGAGCACCUGCUUUGCAAGCAGGGGGUCGUCGGUUCGAUCCCGACAGGCUCCACCAUAUUGAGUGAAAAGACUUCGGGUCUGUAGCUCAGGUGGUUAGAGCGCACCCCUGAUAAGGGUGAGGUCGGUAGUUCGAGUCUACCCAGACCCACCACUCUGAAUGUAGUGCACACUUAAGAAUUUAUAUGGAUCAGCGUUGAGGCUGAGACAUGUUCUUUUAUAACUUGUGACGUAGCGAGCGUUUGAGAUAUCUAUCUAAACGUGUCGUUGAGGCUAAGGCGGGGACUUCGAGUCCCUAAAUAAUUGAGUCGUAUGUUCGCGUUGGUGGCUUUGUACCCCACACAACACGGCAUGUAACUCCGAGGCAACUUGGGGUUAUAUGGUCAAGCGAAUAAGCGCACACGGUGGAUGCCUUGGCA